rnacentral:tRNA from 1 species
UAUUAAGAAUCGAUUUAUUGAAUUCAAUUUCGACUUGGAAUUUAGAUUAUAUUUUAUAAUCCUUAAUAA